UGAGGAAUAUUGGACAAUGGGCGCAAGCCUGAUCCAGCCAUGCCGCGUGCAGGAUGACGGUCCUAUGGAUUGUAAACUGCUUUUGUACAGGAAGAAACAGUUCUACGUGUAGAACCUUGACGGUACUGUAAGAAUAAGGAUCGGCUAACUCCGUGCCAGCAGCCGCGGUAAUACGGAGGAUCCAAGCGUUAUCCGGAAUCAUUGGGUUUAAAGGGUCCGUAGGCGGUUAGAUAAGUCAGUGGUGAAAGCCCAUCGCUCAACGGUGGAACGGCCAUUGAUACUGUCUGACUUGAAUUAUUAGGAAGUAACUAGAAUAUGUAGUGUAGCGGUGAAAUGCUUAGAGAUUACAUGGAAUACCAAUUGCGAAGGCAGGUUACUACUAAUGGAUUGACGCUGAUGGACGAAAGCGUGGGUAGCGAACAGGAUUAGAUACCCCCGUAGUCCCUGAG
rnacentral:rRNA from 1 species